UACAGAGGGAGCAAGCGUUGUUCGGAAUUACUGGGCGUAAAGGGCGCGUAGGCGGUUCGAUAAGUCCCGUGUGAAAUCCCUCGGCUCAACUGAGGAACUGCACGGGAAACUGACGGGCUUGAGUUCGGGAGAGGGAAGCGGAAUUCCGGGUGUAGCGGUGAAAUGCGUAGAUAUCCGGAGGAACACCGGUGGCGAAAGCGGCUCACUGGACCACAACUGACGCUGAGGCACGAAAGCUAGGGGAGCAAACAGG
rnacentral:rRNA from 1 species